GUGAGUCAGCCGCGACCCGACCCGGAGGACCGAGCGGUAGGAGCUGGUGGGAGGUCGCGGGCCGGCCGAAGGCCGAGCGGGGAGCGAGCGGCCCGACCCGCCCGCGUGGAGCCGAGGGGCGUCGGCCCGGCCCAGGUCCUGCGCCCGGAGACCCGCCCUCCGCCCCUCCCAGCGCCCCGGCGCCCGGCGCUUCCUGGUCCCCGCCGCAGCCAUGGCCGAGGAGCAGCCGCAGGUCGAGCUGUUCGUGAAGGCUGGCAGUGAUGGAGCCAAGAUUGGAAACUGCCCCUUCUCCCAGAGACUGUUCAUGGUGCUCUGGCUCAAGGGAGUCACCUUCAAUGUCACCACCGUUGACACCAAGAGGCGAACUGAGACAGUACAGAAGCUGUGCCCAGGAGGGCAGCUCCCUUUUCUGCUGUAUGGCACCGAAGUGCACACAGACACCAAUAAGAUUGAGGAGUUUCUGGAGGCAGUGCUGUGUCCUCCCAGGUACCCCAAGCUGGCAGCUCUGAACCCUGACUCAAACACAGCUGGCCUGGACAUAUUUGCCAAGUUUUCCGCCUACAUCAAGAACUCAAACCCAGCACUCAAUGACACCCUGGAGAAGGGGCUCCUGAAAGCCCUGAAAGUUUUAGACAAUUACCUGGCAUCCCCCCUCCCAGAGGAAGUGGAUGAGACCAGUGCUGAGGACGAGGGCAUCUCUCAGAGGAAGUUUCUGGAUGGAAACGAGCUCACUCUGGCUGACUGUAACCUGCUGCCAAAGCUCCACAUAGUGCAGCGGUCAUGGCCCACAAGACUGUUGCUUGUGAAAAUUAUAUUCCAAGAUACAAGCUGGGUGCAAGCCGGCUGGCAGAGAGGAACACAUCCCAGUGUUACUUUCAAGAAUGCGCUUCCUGCCACUGGCACUGCCAGUCCCCAGGCCAGACCAGGCAGGCUCUUCCUACAACCAAAGCUUUGGCUCCUCAUAGCUUGGGUUUCCACCUCCUCUUGUGGAAAAUGAAAACUUGGUUCCCAUCUUUUGUCACAGCCUUAAAGCUAUGGUUUUAGUUUGUGAAAUCUGGGCCCGAUGUCAGUCUGCCACAGAGCUGCGGAUUGAACACUGAAAGGCAAAGUGGUGUGAUGCUUAGUCCUUGCCCCAAAUGAAACAGAGAAAAGUCGCUGUGGAAAUUUCAAGAGAAAAAUUUAAUCAUUUGUGAAUUGUAGCUCAAUAAAACCAAGAGGAGAAAAGUAGUACCAUUGGAAUUGGUCUGAAAAGGGGCUUGUUAUCAGUAAGUAGAGAGGAAAAGUGAAGACAGCAUAGGACAAUAAAGAGUUAAGAAAGCCGAUUGGAGCAGAUGAUUCACGUGGCAGGUGGUGUGUAAGAAGUACCGCGGCUUCUCCAUCCCCGAGGUGUUCCGGGGAGUGCAUCGGUACCUGCGCAAUGCCUAUGCGCGCGAGGAGUUCGCCUCCACCUGCCCCGACGAUGAGGAGAUCGAGCUGGCCUAUGAGC